rnacentral:rRNA from 1 species
GACGAACGCUGGCGGCGUGCCUAAUACAUGCAAGUCGUGCGGACCUUUUAAAAGCUUGCUUUUAAAAGGUUAGCGGCGGACGGGUGAGUAACACGUGGGCAACCUGCCUGUAAGACCGGGAUAACGCCGGGAAACCGGGGCUAAUACCGGAUAGUUUUUUCCUCCGCAUGGAGGAAAAAGGAAAGGCGGCUUCGGCUGCCACUUACAGAUGGGCCCGCGGCGCAUUAGCUAGUUGGUGGGGUAAUGGCCCACCAAGGCAACGAUGCGUAGCCGACCUGAGAGGGUGAUCGGCCACAUUGGGACUGAGACACGGCCCAAACUCCUACGGGAGGCAGCAGUAGGGAAUCUUCCACAAUGGACGCAAGUCUGAUGGAGCAACGCCGCGUGAGUGAAGAAGGUUUUCGGAUCGUAAAGCUCUGUUGUUGGUGAAGAAGGAUAGAGGUAGUAACUGGCCUUUAUUUGACGGUAAUCAACCAGAAAGUCACGGCUAACUAC